AAAUGCUUGCGACUGACGAAUCUCAGAUUUGCAAAUGUGCGAGGGCUUGAAAGAACCUGUGUAGUGUUUAGUUCCCUGCAUUGACACCAUGGUGGAGUUAGUUUGAAACUUUCAAAUUUAAAGUAUUCAAUAUUCAUGGCACCUAAAAUGUCAAACGGCCAGUCUCGCCAUCUACUUUUUUUUUUUUGCUUGCCAUGGUUUGCCAUUAAUAAGAGGAUAACUUGACUUAUUUUUAUUAGGAUGCUAAUUUAUUAACCAUCUGGGAGUAAUUUUGCUGGGAGAUGUCCUAUAACAGCUCCAGAUUAAUUGUGGUUGUCGUGGUCAUCUUCUUUUGUUCUCUCUUAUGGACCAGUCUCUUUGGUGUAGGCUGGAUGUUUUACAGUUUCUUAAGGAAAUGGUUUAUCGCUUGAGCUGUCAACAUGGAGAUGCAAUCAUGCAGGCCGGGCUCUUCAAGAUGCGAUCUUGAUGGCCAAAGUUUGCCCGUUCCAAAACCUGAACAAUAGAAUGGCACCAGGAGUUGUCUUGCUACUUUUGAAUCCGAACAAAAUGGUGGGUUAAUUUCUGUCAGUCACAAUCAAGGAAUGCAAGUUCCUGAGGGAGAAGACAUUGCUGUCAGUUAAUAAUUCCAUUUCUAAAGUUAUUGGAGAAAGUAACCUGCAGUCAAGAGGACAUCGUGCAGGCUUAAACUGCUAUGUUGUUCUUGGACCACCUACGAUUUGUUGCUGGACACUCUUUGUGCACUCUCAUAAGAGCAUUUUCUGCUGAAACAACUUAAAGCUUCUGCUGGAUUCAUGUACCUCAUGAUUGAGAUGUUACCAUCUGCAUUUCCAGCUCUCGUCUCCUGCUCUGUUCACCAUGCAUUUAUAUAGCAUUGAUUUAUGAAAUUGGAAGGGAAGCUGGUUGUAUGCACCACUCCGUCUCUGGUACUUCCCAUUUGCACUUGUUUACAGAGCGUGGUCCAUCUUUGGUUCUGAAUCUUCUGAUGCUGUUUUAGAUUGUUGUUUUCUGCGGUUUAGCAUCAGAGAUGGAUAUCGUCAUUAGUAGUUUAGGAUGUGAUUAUUUCAUUGCUUACAGAACUCGCAAAAUAUAGUCGAUUCCUCUGUUAGGCGAAGACGGUCCUUUCCUUGGGACAUAUUCCAAGAACACGCAACUCCUUAAAAUGGUCUGUUGCAGAAGUUUGGUGAUUCAACCUUUUACACAAGAAUUAGCACCCACAAGAGUCUGUCAUCAGGUGGUUCAAGUUUCUAUACCAGAGUUGAGCAGAUAUGGUCUGCUAACAUUAUUCUGCACAAUGCAUUCAUUGACAGUUUUUAUUUUGCUUACCUCUCUUUCUUUUGUUCUUGUUUGUCACUACCUUUGCGUGUCUCCUUUAUCUGUUUACAUGAUUAUCAAGUAUACAUCGUCCAAGCUUUGUUUUCAGUGGCUUCAACUCAAUUCUUCGGCAGGUGCGCAGCAAUACAACAAUAUUUUCUCCCUUCUGUGAAACGAGUUCGGGUACCAUGUGUAAGACAACGUUUUGGCAUUUGUGGUGGACCAUGAAAAAGGGGGCCUUGUGAUCUUUUGUAAGGAGAAACUAUUUUUGGCAGUUCUGGAUCUUCUUGUCAUACGUAUGAUGUACGCCCCACUAAUGUGAAACUACAAGAUUAGGAGCAGAAGUAACUAACGGAGCAAAGCACUGUAAAGACUGGCAAAAGAAUUUAAAGUGACGCUACACCUUGAAAUCAUGACGAAAAGAUUAAGUAAAUCUCCAUCCAUGAGAAAUUGCAAUUUGAGCACGAAUAAUUUCGAUAGCCGCAUUUUCUUGCCUCUCGACGCUUCCAUUUGUUCAUUUCUUUUAGAGUGGACUAUACUGAAAACGGCAUCUAAAAAGUCGUGACAGCAGCUCUGUCAAAACUUCAAGGUGAGGAAUGCUGAGAAUCCAAUGCCCGAGAUGCAUCUAUCAGGUUUACAAUCUCAAUUAGUUGGAGAAUUUUGAAGAAAUCUAGUUGGCCACUAUCCUCUCUCUCUUUGCAUGUUUUCUCAGUUUAGUUCGGUGCAUAAAGAAUUUACAAGUAUUGUACAGAAUGAUCGGAGUGGAUAAUGAUCUAAAAUUUAUAAAUACAGCAGGUCUUGCCCAGUUCUAUUCUUCUCAUCUGUCUAAGAUCUCUUGCCAUUAAACAAGCCAGGACUCUGCCCUUCCGGCUCAGCCACAGUGGGCUCGGCAGUCGGUCUAUGCAUCCGCCGCAAGAGCUGCAGCGCAGAACAUGGGCCUGAUAAUUGGUAUAAAAGGGAUUUGAAAGAUUUUACCAAUUAGAUGCCUGUCUAUAUGCAUCAACAGUUGGUUUCACUUUUGUUAUUGAUUCAGUUGUUGUUGUCAUAUACAAAAGCAGAUGAGUAAAGGGGAUUAGAAAAACUGAGCACUCCAUGAACCAUACUAAAGGGGGUACCAUAGGCGCCGAAGCUCCUCCCUCGGGAAUGGUACACCGUCAACUAGAGAGUCGUACAUCUGCAUCAAAAUGUUUGUCCCUAUUUACAAAUUUCUUGAAUGCCAAAGCAUUACUUUU